rnacentral:lncRNA from 1 species
AUGAUGGCAUUCAUCAUUGGGAAUUUGUACCUUUACAUGAUAGAUCUUGGUUCUUAUUUUUCCCCCCACUCCCCUGUCCUCCCUUCAACCCUUCAACCUCUCCUUAUUUACAAAGACUUUGUUACCAUUUUUCCUUUUUGUCAUAUUUUUUCCUUAGGAAAAAAGUAUACAAAGAUGCAAAAAGAAAUGCACAACAUCCAGUAUGAAUUUACUUCAAAAUAUAGUUUAAAUUUCCAUCAUCACUGAAUCAAGUACCUCCAUGCAUGUAGUACAACACUACUGAACUGUCUCAAGGCAUGAGGGGAGCUGAAAAGGACUGUGGAGGCCUCAGUCCAGAGGCACAGGCUCGGAUUCCGAAUUUGGAAGGAAACAAACCAUCAGGUAAAUAUUUAUAACAAACUGUAGUAUAUCAAUUUAAUGAACUCUUAUUUAGAAAUAAAAAGAA